GUAACCAGAUACGGUAUUAUUUUAUCACUGCCAUCUGUUCUUCUUACAGUCCUGGAGUCAUGUUGGAAGACUUCGGAAUUGUUUGCUUAACUGAAUCUUGCUUUCCUGGAAAGAAAAUAUCCCAAAUGAAGAGUAACAAAAUACUUAAGGAAAACUUAUGUCUGAUCUUAUUCAAGCACUAUCAUGGGGUUAAAGAUAAUAGUGUCUGUCCUGGAUGUGGAAAUCCUUAGAUAUAAAUGAAUCAAAAUAAACUUCUCUUAAAAGUUA